CAUAUCCUCCCCCUUCUACCUCCCGUUGUCGUCGACCUCCCCUCCUCCAAUUUUUAUUUUCUACCGCCAUUGGAGUCGAGCUCCGGACAAGGGAAAUUCUCAGCGUCACCCGCACCGUAACACCUUAUCUUUCCGCCUGAAGCCGUCAAGAGCGUCGAAGGAGAAGGAAAGAAAGCUACCCUCCGCUGCCAACGUCGAACCACCUCGCUACCGACGUGUUCCAGCCAAUUCGACACUGGAAAUAGCUUUCUCGCCACCUAAAACCCUAACCUGGAUAGUUGCAGCCUCUGAUGCUGCCACUGGACCAGUGAUUGGAGUGGGUGUGGUUUUGCCGGACUUAUUCGGUUUUUGGCGAUUUUGGUGGCCUUCUGGUGGUCAUUUGGUGAAGAUAAUCGCAUAUCUAGACUCCUAACAUCUUGAUCUACAAUUUGGCAUCCUCAAAUUCCAUUUUUGCCUCCAUCGAAAAAUUCCAGGGAACGGAAUCCAGUGACCUCGUGACGCAUGCUGGCAGGCAGAAAAUUCGUCUCGGCUUCUUAAUUUAUCGGGUGCUAGUUUGCGAAUUUUAGCUCAUCUUGAUCAUCCAUCGAUUCAGCCCGCUCCACCUGAGGCAUAGGAGCAUAGCAAGGGGGUCACUAGAAUUGAUGAAAUUGUAAGUAAUUGAAAAUGUUAAGGGACCUAGUUGUAAUAAAGAAAAGUUCAGGGGCUCAAUGUCGAUAUUGAAGAAAGGAAGAAGAGAGGCGUCGGGGAGAGAGAACCAAGGCGCUGGGAAGAGAGAGAGAGAGAGAGAGAGCU